GCAAUAGCAAGAAAUUUUCAAUUGUACAGUAUUGCGCAAUAGCAAAAACUGUGCAAUUGAAAAUUUCUUGCUAUUGC
rnacentral:sRNA from 1 species